rnacentral:lncRNA from 1 species
UUGAUUUGGGAAUUCAUUGAAUCCCACUCCAUUUUCCCAUCUAUUUUUCUCUCUCUUCCAACAAAUAUAACAUAGGCAUGGUAUGUAUACUAGUAGUAACAGAUCUAGUACAAAACAAUUAUCACAAAUCUCAAACCAAAAAUCGGAAAUACUAGUCAAUAUAAAACUGCUUUUUCUUUCCUUCUCCUUUCUUUUUCAUCCCAAAAUCUUGAUGAGCUUUCUUGCUCUUUCUUUCUUCUUUUUGUUAGAUUUGUUGAUUGGUCAAUGCAUGCAUAAGUGUCUUGGAUCACCAUUUUCUUUUAUUAUUAUUUUAGUUUCUUCCUUUCUCAAGAUCAAUCGUGACGAUAAUAAAAAUUCAACACACUCACUAAUUCGCCCCUUGAUUAUUAGGCGAGAGUGAUCAAGAGAAGUCUUCCCUCGUAAUCAAUAUUCAGGAGCCUUGGUAGAGCUGGUGACUACUUAAACAACAUUGAUUAUGGAUGUUAAAGCAGUGACAAACUCCAAUGAUGAAAGACUAUGGAAAAAUAGAACUGCUAAUACCACUUUAGAGUAUGGAAGAUUAUUCUCACAAGGGAAAUAUGGUAAAAGGAACGUGUCAUCAACCAUGAGCUACUUCAGCUUAGAAUCAUUGUUGUUUCUAAUUUGUCUUACUGCAUUAUUGUUACUUCUGCCAUUGAUACUUCCACCAUUGCCACCACCACCACCAUUCAUGUUGCUGCUGAUCCCUAUUUUCAUUUUCCUACUUCUUAUGGUCUUGGCGUUCAUGCCUUCCAGUAAUGCCAUGUGAUUGGGAAACUUAAUUAUAUAUAUUUGUAAGAAGAGAACAAUCUCUCUCUCUAUAUAUAUCAAUAUAUAUAUAUAUCUUUCUUCUCCUUUUUUUUGAAUUUUUUUCAUCUUUCUUCUUUUUUUUUUUGAAUUUUUUUCAUUAAUCAAUUUGUUUAUUAAUUAAAAAAAUUAUGUCAUAUUUACUAUCCUAAUUAUAUCUCAUGAGUUAUAAAAAAACCUCCAAAUAUUUGUAUUCUCUACUUAAUAGUAUGUCUUCUCAACUUCCUUCUACCUAUUCUUAUUGUUUUUUCAAUCUAUAAAUACCAAUAAUCUAUAGUGUUGUUGGAUGAUCAUUUCCAUUUCUCCUCCUUCUUUUUAAAUAGUAUAUAUCUUUUUCUCCUUUUCAAACUUUUUCACAAUAGGAAUACAAUGCGGCCUCUACAAUCUUUUGUUAUGGCUUAAUCUUAAUUAGUAGCAUUUUAUAUAUACCAACUGCACAAGUACUUGAAAUGUUCAUAAACAGUUCACACAGUAAAAGAGUAAGCAAUUCACGUAUGAUGUAGGGACAUCAAUAAAAUUAGGUCCAAUAGAUUAAUAUAACUAUUGCAAUUAAAAAAAAGUACUCUUCGUUCCUUAGGACUAUUUUUUAUUUCUUAUCUUUUUAUAUUUUUUAAUCUAAAGGCAUUAUUUUGGAUGUUAUUCUGAUUCAAUGAAUUUAAAUUUACACAGAUAGUAUGAUUUGAUGAUUCUUUGAUUUGUUAUUUUUGGCAGGUAAUAAACAAUCAAGAUUGGUGUUAUCUCUUUGGAAACAUGUUGUUUUGAGACCGAAAACGGAGUUUCAUUUUCAUCUCUAAUAGAUAGGAGAAAUGAGUAUAAUAAAAGUAGGUUUUUCAUAAUAUUCUUGUAUCAAUCGUAUUAUUUCGAUAUAAGUAAUUUAUAUUAUUCAGUUCCUCUAUUUUUGAUGAGUAUAUAAAUAGCAUGAAAGUUGUGUCUUUCAUAUAUUUUACAGAUAAGUGUAAGCAUAUUUAUCGGUUAAUUGCUAAAGUUAAGAACCAAAUCGAUAACGAUAAUUAAUUUUUAGGUCAUUUACAUUUUCUUUAGUUUUGUAAUUUUUUUUAUAAGGAGAUUUUUAUUUCUCCGUAUAAAAGAUUUGAUAAUGUUAUUUUCUACAAUCCAAUUUGCAAGUAGUCAAACGAUCUUAUUUACUCCAAUUUAUAUCUAUCUAUAAUAUAAAAAGUGAUGUGACACGUCUCUUUGGUAAAGAAAUUUUAUUUAUCUUUAUUCUCAUUUUCUUAACGUUUUCUCGUAUUUUAUUCAUUUUUUUAUUAUUAUAAGAGAUAUCUUCAUAACUCACACCUUUCAUCUUCAUAACUUCUAUUCUUAAUUUGUAGUAGUAACUAUACUUUUUUAUUUCUCUCAUUUUUUUUUUUGUGGUUCUUUUUGCAGCCCCUUACAAAAAAAUUACUAACAAACUAAACCUACAUUAUAAGUUAAUACUAUUGAAUUAACUUUUUAAUGAUUAUUAAAAUUGUAACAGUUAAAUUGAAAUAAUAUUCAAUAAAGGGAGUAUUUAUUAGGUUGCAGAAUAAAGUCUUUUCAUAUUCCAAAGCUAAGUUUUAAUUUUCCCCAAAUUUUCUUCUAACAUAUAGUACUCUUAUAUCUAUAGUUUAGCUUUUUCAAAUUAUCUUUUGUUGAGUGAUGUUUAUCAUGUUAUAUAUAUCAAGUGUUGUUAUCUUAUGUUAAAUUGUUGGUUUUGUAUCAUAUGAAAAACGAUAGUAUUUGUUGCCUCUUAACAAUUUUGGAGUUUAUUUCAAAAUUAUUUGUGUUUUAAUGCUAAUUAUUGUUCGCAUCGUUGUGAUUACAUAAAAUGAUUUCCAAUGUACAUCAAUAUACCUAAUAAUUGUAACUAUGUAGUUGUUAAUGUGGUGAAAGGCAUUGGGUAAGUGACAAAAAAUAAUAUUAACAUCUUAUCUUUUUCAAUUUUCAAAUUUAUAUAUUUACUUCUUUUUUUCUCAUUAUUUAUAUUAUCAUAAUUUUUUUUUAAUCAUCACUUUAGAUCAUAUAUAACUUGACUUAUUUUAUAAGAAAUUCCUAUAAAAUUUCUUAUAGGAAAAAAUUAUCAAACAAUUUCCAAUCAUGAUCUUUGCAGAUUCAAAAAUAGAAAGACGAAGAAAAAGCAAUUAAGUAUAAAGAGGAAGAAGAAUGACAAAAAUGAAAAAAGAAGAAGUAAACACUAAAAAGAAUCAUAAUUUAUUCUUUAUAUUUAAUUAUUUAGAAAUUCACAUAUUUAAUAAGAUAUUAUACAACUGUGCGAAGCGCGGCCUAUUUCACUAGUAUAUAUAUAAAGGAGAAAUAUAGAGGAGGUGAUGUGACACCCCUCUAUGAUCUCCAUUGGUAUUUAUCCUUUUUUUUUUUUUGGCAUUUUUUCCUUCAUUCUUUUCUUUUAUCAAUUUGUUUGAUAAAUAAAAAGAUCUAUUAUAUUCAUUAUAUCUAAUUACAUUUCAUGAGUUACAAAAAACCUUCAUCCAUUUGCAUUCUCUAUUAAAUAUUCCUUUAAAUAACAUAUCUUUUCAACUUUUUUUAUCUAAUUUUUUGUGACUUAAACAACCUCUAUAUAUGUACAGUAAUUUAUUUGGAGGACAAUAUUGAAUUUUGUAGCCAUGGUUGGACGCAAAAGAAGAAAAUUGAGGUGUAAGUUUUUAGUAUAUGUGUUUUUGGGCAUUAAACAUCUUUCUUUUUCUGUUUUUUGUGCUUAAAUUGAUUUGGAAUUAUUUGAGUUGUACUUGAUAUUUUAGAUUUAUCAUCAUUUGCUAAUCUUAACAAUUUGUUUUGUGUAUUUUCAUAUAUUUGUGAUGGUAUGAUCAUUUUUUUCUUUUCAUGUAUUAACAAGUACAAUGAUUUAUUCAGAGGACAAUAUUGAAUUUCAUAGCCAUGAUUGGACGCAAAAGAGGAAAAUUGAGGUUGUAAGUUUUUAGUAUGUGUGUUUUUGGGCAUUAGGCAUCUUUCUUUUUCAGUUUCUUGAGCUUAAAUUGAUUUAAAAUUAUUUGAGUUGUACUUGAUAUUUUAGAUUUACAAUCAUUUGCUAAUCUUAAGAAUUAUUUUUUUUGUGUCUUUUCAUAUAUUUGUGAUGGUAUGAUCAUUUCUUUCUUUUCGUGUAUUAACAACUAUACAUACUUUAAUGUAUAGCAUAAGAACAACUGGUAAGAAGUUGUCAUUAUUAUUAUUGAGUACUAAUACUAUUAGCUUUAUGCCAUGAAAAAUGUUGAUGUGUAGUACUCCUGUCAGGUCUAAAGCAAUACAUCAUGUGACUCCAACGACAAAAUAAAUUAACGACAACAGAUAGAUUGAUGAGCAAGUGGGGAGUGCAAGUGGAGAAAGGAUGUGUCUUAUGCAAAAC